AAAACGACUCUCGGCAGCGGAUAUCUCGGCUCUCGCAUCGAUGAAGAACGUAGCGAAAUGCGAUACUUGGUGUGAAUUGCAGAAUCCCGUGAACCAUCGAGUUUUUGAACGCAAGUUGCGCCCGAAGCCAUUAGGUUGAGGGCACGUCUGCCUGGGCGUCUCA
rnacentral:rRNA from 1 species